rnacentral:rRNA from 1 species
UACAGAGACUGCAAGCGUUAUUCGGAUUCACUGGGCGUAAAGGGUGCGCAGGUGGUCGUGUGUGUCAGAUGUGAAAUCCCGGAGCUUAACUCCGGAACUGCGUCUGAAACUGCACGACUAGAGCAUUGGAGAGGGUAGUGGAAUUCACGGUGUAGCAGUGAAAUGCGUAGAUAUCGUGAGGAACACCAGAGGCGAAGGCGACUACCUGGACAAUUGCUGACACUCAGGCACGAAAGCAUGGGGAG